UACAGAGGUCUCAAGCGUUGUUCGGAUUCAUUGGGCGUAAAGGGUGCGUAGGUGGCGCGCUAAGUCAGGUGUGAAAUUUCGGAGCUUAACUCCGAAACUGCAUUUGAUACUGGCGUGCUUGAGGACUGGAGAGGUGAGUGGAACUGCGAGUGUAGAGGUGAAAUUCGUAGAUAUUCGCAAGAACACCAGUGGCGAAGGCGGCUCACUGGCCCGGUACUGACGCUGAGGUGCGAAAGCGUGGGGAGCAAACGGG
rnacentral:rRNA from 1 species